AUUGAACGCUGGCGGAAUGCUUUACACAUGCAAGUCGAACGGCAGCACGGACUUCGGUCUGGUGGCGAGUGGCGAACGGGUGAGUAAUACAUCGGAACGUGCCCAGUCGUGGGGGAUAACGUAGCGAAAGCUACGCUAAUACCGCAUACGAUCUAAGGAUGAAAGCGGGGGAUCGCAAGACCUCGCGCGAUUGGAGCGGCCGAUGGCAGAUUAGGUAGUUGGUAGGGUAAAGGCCUACCAAGCCGACGAUCUGUAGCUGGUCUGAGAGGACGACCAGCCACACUGGGACUGAGACACGGCCCAGACUCCUACGGGAGGCAGCAGUGGGGAAUUUUGGACAAUGGACGCAAGUCUGAUCCAGCCAUUCCGCGUGCAGGAUGAAGGCCCUCGGGUUGUAAACUGCUUUCGUACAGAACGAAAAGGCUCUGGUUAAUACCUGGGGCUCAUGACGGUACUGUAAGAAUAAGCACCGGCUAACUACGUGCCAGCCGCCGCAGUAA
rnacentral:rRNA from 1 species